UUAAGCGACUAAGCGUACACGGUGGAUGCCCUGGCAGUCAGAGGCGAUGAAGGACGUGCUAAUCUGCGAUAAGCGUCGGUAAGGUGAUAUGAACCGUUAUAACCGGCGAUUUCCGAAUGGGGAAACCCAGUGUGUUUCGACACACUAUCAUUAACUGAAUCCAUAGGUUAAUGAGGCGAACCGGGGGAACUGAAACAUCUAAGUACCCCGAGGAAAAGAAAUCAACCGAGAUUCCCCCAGUAGCGGCGAGCGAACGGGGAGCAGCCCAGAGCCUGAAUCAGUGUGUGUGUUAGUGGAAGCGUCUGGAAAGGCGCGCGAUACAGGGUGACAGCCCCGUACACAAAAAUGCACAUGCUGUGAGCUCGAUGAGUAGGGCGGGACACGUGGUAUCCUGUCUGAAUAUGGGGGGACCAUCCUCCAAGGCUAAAUACUCCUGACUGACCGAUAGUGAACCAGUACCGUGAGGGAAAGGCGAAAAGAACCCCGGCGAGGGGAGUGAAAAGAACCUGAAACCGUGUACGUACAAGCAGUGGGAGCACGCUUAGGCGUGUGACUGCGUACCUUUUGUAUAAUGGGUCAGCGACUUAUAUUCUGUAGCAAGGUUAACCGAAUAGGGGAGCCGAAGGGAAACCGAGUCUUAACUGGGCGUUAAGUUGCAGGGUAUAGACCCGAAACCCGGUGAUCUAGCCAUGGGCAGGUUGAAGGUUGGGUAACACUAACUGGAGGACCGAACCGACUAAUGUUGAAAAAUUAGCGGAUGACUUGUGGCUGGGGGUGAAAGGCCAAUCAAACCGGGAGAUAGCUGGUUCUCCCCGAAAGCUAUUUAGGUAGCGCCUCGUGAAUUCAUCUCCGGGGGUAGAGCACUGUUUCGGCAAGGGGGUCAUCCCGACUUACCAACCCGAUGCAAACUGCGAAUACCGGAGAAUGUUAUCACGGGAGACACACGGCGGGUGCUAACGUCCGUCGUGAAGAGGGAAACAACCCAGACCGCCAGCUAAGGUCCCAAAGUCAUGGUUAAGUGGGAAACGAUGUGGGAAGGCCCAGACAGCCAGGAUGUUGGCUUAGAAGCAGCCAUCAUUUAAAGAAAGCGUAAUAGCUCACUGGUCGAGUCGGCCUGCGCGGAAGAUGUAACGGGGCUAAACCAUGCACCGAAGCUGCGGCAGCGACGCUGAUGCGUUGUUGGGUAGGGGAGCGUUCUGUAAGCCUGCGAAGGUGUGCUGUGAGGCAUGCUGGAGGUAUCAGAAGUGCGAAUGCUGACAUAAGUAACGAUAAAGCGGGUGAAAAGCCCGCUCGCCGGAAGACCAAGGGUUCCUGUCCAACGUUAAUCGGGGCAGGGUGAGUCGACCCCUAAGGCGAGGCCGAAAGGCGUAGUCGAUGGGAAACAGGUUAAUAUUCCUGUACUUGGUGUUACUGCGAAGGGGGGACGGAGAAGGCUAUGUUGGCCGGGCGACGGUUGUCCCGGUUUAAGCGUGUAGGCUGGUUUUCCAGGCAAAUCCGGAAAAUCAAGGCUGAGGCGUGAUGACGAGGCACUACGGUGCUGAAGCAACAAAUGCCCUGCUUCCAGGAAAAGCCUCUAAGCAUCAGGUAACAUCAAAUCGUACCCCAAACCGACACAGGUGGUCAGGUAGAGAAUACCAAGGCGCUUGAGAGAACUCGGGUGAAGGAACUAGGCAAAAUGGUGCCGUAACUUCGGGAGAAGGCACGCUGAUAUGUAGGUGAAGUCCCUCGCGGAUGGAGCUGAAAUCAGUCGAAGAUACCAGCUGGCUGCAACUGUUUAUUAAAAACACAGCACUGUGCAAACACGAAAGUGGACGUAUACGGUGUGACGCCUGCCCGGUGCCGGAAGGUUAAUUGAUGGGGUUAGCCGCAAGGCGAAGCUCUUGAUCGAAGCCCCGGUAAACGGCGGCCGUAACUAUAACGGUCCUAAGGUAGCGAAAUUCCUUGUCGGGUAAGUUCCGACCUGCACGAAUGGCGUAAUGAUGGCCAGGCUGUCUCCACCCGAGACUCAGUGAAAUUGAACUCGCUGUGAAGAUGCAGUGUACCCGCGGCAAGACGGAAAGACCCCGUGAACCUUUACUAUAGCUUGACACUGAACAUUGAGCCUUGAUGUGUAGGAUAGGUGGGAGGCUUAGAAGUGUGGACGCCAGUCUGCAUGGAGCCGACCUUGAAAUACCACCCUUUAAUGUUUGAUGUUCUAACGUUGACCCGUAAUCCGGGUUGCGGACAGUGUCUGGUGGGUAGUUUGACUGGGGCGGUCUCCUCCUAAAGAGUAACGGAGGAGCACGAAGGUUGGCUAAUCCUGGUCGGACAUCAGGAGGUUAGUGCAAUGGCAUAAGCCAGCUUGACUGCGAGCGUGACGGCGCGAGCAGGUGCGAAAGCAGGUCAUAGUGAUCCGGUGGUUCUGAAUGGAAGGGCCAUCGCUCAACGGAUAAAAGGUACUCCGGGGAUAACAGGCUGAUACCGCCCAAGAGUUCAUAUCGACGGCGGUGUUUGGCACCUCGAUGUCGGCUCAUCACAUCCUGGGGCUGAAGUAGGUCCCAAGGGUAUGGCUGUUCGCCAUUUAAAGUGGUACGCGAGCUGGGUUUAGAACGUCGUGAGACAGUUCGGUCCCUAUCUGCCGUGGGCGCUGGAGAACUGAGGGGGGCUGCUCCUAGUACGAGAGGACCGGAGUGGACGCAUCACUGGUGUUCGGGUUGUCAUGCCAAUGGCACUGCCCGGUAGCUAAAUGCGGAAGAGAUAAGUGCUGAAAGCAUCUAAGCACGAAACUUGCCCCGAGAUGAGUUCUCCCUGACCCUUUAAGGGUCCUGAAGGAACGUUGAAGACGACGACGUUGAUAGGCCGGGUGUGUAAGCGCAGCGAUGCGUUGAGCUAACCGGUACUAAUGAACCGUGAGGCUUAACCUU
rnacentral:rRNA from 1 species